rnacentral:rRNA from 1 species
GAUAGGCCGGAGAUGGAAGACCUGUGAGGGUUGGAGUUGACCGGUACUAAUAGGCCGAGGGCUUGACCAUAU